rnacentral:misc_RNA from 2 species
AAGUCGUAACAAGGUCUCCGUUGGUGAACCAGCGGAGGGAUCAUUAAUGAGUUUUCUAAACUCCAAACCCUUGAGAACAUACCUAGUUGCCUCGGCGGACUUGCCCUGGGACGACCUACCCUGCAGCGAGUUACCCUGUAACGAGUUGCCCUGUAGGGACCUGCCCUGUAGCCUGCUCGCCGGCGGCCAACCUAAACUCUGUUUUAUUGUGGCACUUCUGAGGAUUAUUCUAAAUGAAUUAAAACUUUCAACAACGGAUCUCUUGGUUCUG